AUUUUGGUGGCUGAAAAAGGCAAUAAAUUGUAAAUUUAUCUAUGACAUAUAUACGUCCCUUA
rnacentral:tRNA from 1 species